rnacentral:rRNA from 1 species
GAUGAACGCUGGCGGCGUGCUUAACACAUGCAAGUCGAACGGAAAGGCUCCUGCUUGCAGGGGUACUCGAGUGGCGAACGGGUGAGUAACACGUGGGUGAUCUGCCCUGCACUUCGGGAUAAGCCUGGGAAACUGGGUCUAAUACCGGAUAGGACCAUCGUUUAGUGUCGGUGGUGGAAAGUUUUUUCGGUGUGGGAUGAGCUCGCGGCCUAUCAGCUUGUUGGUGGGGUAAUGGCCUACCAAGGCGUCGACGGGUAGCCGGCCUGAGAGGGUGUACGGCCACAUUGGGACUGAGAUACGGCCCAGACUCCUACGGGAGGCAGCAGUGGGGAAUAUUGCACAAUGGGCGCAAGCCUGAUGCAGCGACGCCGCGUGGGGGAUGACGGCCUUCGGGUUGUAAACUCCUUUCGCCAGGGACGAAGCGAAAGUGACGGUACCUGGAUAAGAAGCACCGGCUAGCUACGUG